rnacentral:tRNA from 1 species
UGGUUGAUUUGCGUUCAAUUGAUGCAAAGUGGGUUUUGCAGUCCUUA